rnacentral:rRNA from 1 species
UUACCGGACCGACAGCAAUAUGAAGGCCAGGCUGAAGACUUUGCCGGAUUAGCUGAGAGGUGGUGCAUGGCCGUCGUCAGUUCGUACUGUGAAGCAUCCUGUUAAGUCAGGCAACGAGCGAGACCCACGCCCACAGUUGCCAGCGUACUCUCUGGAGUGACGGGUACACUGUGGGGACCGCCGCUGCUAAAGCGGAGGAAGGAAUGGGCAACGGUAGGUCAGUAUGCCCCGAAUAUCCCGGGCUACACGCGAGCUACAAUGGUUGGUACAAUGGGUAUCUACCCCGAAAGGGGACGGGAAUCUCCUAAAACCAAUCUUAGUUCGGAUUGAGGGCUGCAACUCGCCCUCAUGAAGCUGGAAUCCGUAGUAAUCGCGUUUCAACAGAACGCGGUGAAUACGUCCCUGCUCCUU